rnacentral:rRNA from 1 species
UACAGAGGUGGCUAGCGUUGUUCGGAAUUACUGGGCGUAAAGGGCGCGUAGGCGGUUCGUUAAGUCCUGUGUGAAAUCCCCCGGCUCAACUGGGGAACUGCACAGGAAACUAGCGGGCUUGAGUUCGGGAGAGGGAAGCGGAAUUCCGGGUGUAGCGGUGAAAUGCGUAGAUAUUCGGAGGAACACCGGUGGCGAAGGCGGCAUCCUGGACCGACACUGACGCUGAGGAGCGAAAGCCAGGGGAGCAAACGGG